AUUGAACGCUGGCGGCAGGCUUUACACAUGCAAGUCGGACGAGUGGCGGACGGGUGAGUAAUAUCUCGGAACCUGCCUAAUAGUGGGGGAUAACUACUCGAAAGAUUAGCUAAUACCGCAUAUUAUUCGAUCUGCCCAGAUCUGAUUAGCUAGUGGGUGGGGUAAUGGCCUACCAAGGCGACGAUCCGUAGCGGGUCUGAGAGGAUGACCAGCCACACUGGGACUGAGACACGGCCCAGACUCCUACGGGAGGCAGCAGUGGGGAAUUUUGGACAAUGGGCGCAAGCCUGAUGCAGCCAUGCCGCGUGUGUGAAGAAGGCCUUCGGGUUGUAAAGGACUUUUGUCAGGGAAGCGUUACCUGAAGAAGAAGCACCGGCUAACUACGUGCCAGCAGCCGCGGUAAUUC
rnacentral:rRNA from 1 species